GCCAAACACAAGUAUUUUUUUAAUAACUUUCGACAAUUUUUAUCUAAGCGCAACCAAAUUUUCGGAUAUUUCAAAGACAGAAGUUAUUAAUGUAUAUACCAAAAAUCGGGCAUUAAAAUUACGCUUGAUAUUCGAUUUUCGGGGGUGGAAGUGGAAGGCAAACGUUUUAAAUAAACUUGAUCUGCGUCCUCUGAAAUCUAGGUGAUCAUUUGUAUUUAAAACAUAGAAUACUGCGGACUGCACUUAAAUAUAAUACAUUGAAAUUAUUUCUUUAAGAAUUCAUAACUCUUAUUUGAGGUCCCUGCUUAAAAGUCGAGGCAACCAAGCACAUUGACGGGGGCAAUAUACACUUUGUCACGUGCUAAUAAUACGGCGUAGUGUCCCGUUGUCCUAGUGACAAUAAAUGUUAAUUGAAUAAAUUAAAUGUUGAGAACACUG